rnacentral:hammerhead_ribozyme from 1 species
AUCCAACUGACGAGUCCGAAAUAAGGGCGAAACGCGCAUCUUGAAU